AUUGAACGCUGGCGGCAUGCCUAACACAUGCAAGUCGAGCGGAUGAAGUGAGCUUGCUCCUGGAUUCAGCGGCGGACGGGUGAGUAAUGCCUAGGAAUCUUCCUGGUAGUUUGGGAUUACGUCCCGAAACGGGCUCUAAUACCUCAUACGUCCUGAGGCAUCAAGUGGGGGUUCUUCGGACCUCACUCUCUCAUAUGAGCCUAGGUCGGAUUCGCUAGUUGGUGGGGUAAAGGCCUACCAAGGCGACGAUCCGUAACUGGUCUGAGAGGAUGAUCAGUCACACUGGAACUGAGACACGGUCAAGAGGCCUACGGGAGGCAGAAGUGGGGAAUAGUGGAAAAUGGGAGAAAGCCUGAUCCAGCCAUGCCGCGUGUGUGAAGAAGGUAUUCGGAUUGUAAAGCACUUUAAGUUGGGAGGAAGGGCAGUAAGUGAAUAACUGGCUGUGUUGACGGUACCAACAGAAGAAGCACCGGCUAACUUCGUG
rnacentral:rRNA from 1 species